AUGGCUCGGCACUGGUUGCUAGCCUUGGUCUCGUUGCUUCUGCUCCUGCAGACUCCAUCCAUUUCCUCCCUUGAUGCUCGUGGAUCGGAUGGGAGCUGCGUUGCGCAUGAGAGGGCUGCACUCCUCUCCUUCAAAGGAAGCUUGUCAGACCCCGUGAAGCAGCUUUCAUCGUGGCAUGGUGAAGAUUGCUGCACCUGGGAAGGAGUUGGGUGCAGCAACAGAACCGGCCAUGUUGUCAACCUCAACCUCAGUGGCUGCGGCUAUGAAGCGCGAGUGGGAGGUGAUAUCAGCCCCUCUUUGACUGCCUUACACCACUUGAAGUAUUUAGACUUGAGCUGCAACAACUUCAGUGGGGUGCAGAUCCCAAAAUUUGUUGCUUCUCUUAAAAGUCUUCAGCAUCUUGAUCUUUCUUUUGCAAGCUUUGUGGGCAGAGUACCUCCACAGCUUGGUAAUCUCUCCAAUCUUGUAUUUCUCAGUGUCUCGGACAAUCCUUUGUACUCAGAUGACCUUGCAUGGUUAUCACAUCUCACCUCACUACAGUACCUCGAUAUGAGCUCGGUUAAUCUUAGUACAUCAGUGGAUUGGGUGCAUGCAAUCAACAAGCUUCCUUCAUUGAAAGUUCUUUGUUUGGAAGACAGUGAUCUCAGAAAAAGCCCUGCUACUCUCUCUCAUUAUAAUCUAACAGCCCUCCGGGUGUUGGAUAUCAGCGGUAAUACCUUUCAGGCUGCAUUUUCUCCCAGCUGGGUUUGGCAUAUAACUACAUUGACUUAUCUUGAUCUCUCCCAAUGUGAUUUCCGUGGAUCAAUUCCUGAUGAAAUGGGAAGUAUGACCUCUCUUGAAGAAGUUCACAUAGCCGAAGCCAACCUUGCCGGUAUAAUACCACCAAAUUUGAAGAAUCUAUGCAAUUUGAAGAUUGUGGAUCUACAUGAUAGCAACACCACAGGGGAUAUAGGAGAACUGAUGGAACGGUUGCCAAAAUGCUCAUGGGACAAGCUGUACGUGCUGGAUUUCUCGGACAACAACAUCAGUGGGAGCUUGCCAAAUUGGUUUAGACCUCUAACUAAUUUGACCAUUUUAGAUUUGUCCUAUAAUUAUAUAACAGGACCUGUGCCACUGUGGAUAGGAGCACUUCCAAAACUGGCUAUACUGCAUCUUCAUUCUAAUCAACUAGUUGGUGAAAUAAAUGAAGAUCACUUAGAAGGGCUGAGAAGUUUACAAGAACUACGAAUGUCAGAUAACUCUGUUUCCAUGGUGGUCAGGUCAGACUGGGUUCCUUCAUUCAGGCUACAAGUGGCCGACCUGAAGUCAUGCCGGAUUGGACCCGCAUUCCCAGCAUGGCUCAGGUGUCAAUCUGACAUUCAAGUCAUUGACAUCUCUAAUGCGUCCAUAACUGAUAAUGUACCCGAUUGGUUUUGGACCCUAGCUUCAAAUGCUACUCUCUUGGAUAUGUCAAAUAAUCAAAUAAACGGCACACUCCCAGCAUCCUUUGAGACGAUGAAAGCACGGAUAAUGGACCUAAGUGCUAAUAGAUUUACUGGUGCAGUCCCAAAGUUUCCUAGGGGCGUAACCUUUUUUGACUUAUCCAGAAACAAAUUAUCAGGGACACUGCCCUCAGAUUGGGAAGCCCGGGAGUUAUCUGUGCUUGCUCUUUACAACAAUUCAAUAUCUGGCAACAUACCAUCUUCAUUGUGCAAUUAUUCAUUGGAAAUAUUAGACCUAUCAGGAAAUAUGCUGACAGGAGAGGUACCCACUUGCCAGCAGGGAGAUCUUGGGGGCUUCACACGACUGAGGUCAUUAAAUUUAAAUAGCAAUAAUCUUUCAGGAAACUUCCCAUCAGUUCUUCAAAGGUCAAAAGAUAUGAUUUUUCUUGAUCUUGCAUACAAUCAGUUAUCUGGAAAUUUGCCAGCAAGGUUAGUAGAAAACAUGACAUCCCUUGCAUUGCUACGACUGCGUUCGAAUAUGUUUUCGGGGCAUAUUCCUGUUGAACUUGCAAAGAUUGAAGGGCUUCAAUAUUUGGACCUCGCAUGCAACAAUUUUUCUGGAGGUAUACCUGAAUCCUUAGCAAAGCUGAAGGCAAUCGCUCGGAUUAAUGGAUAUAGUUAUUCACUGGAUGGACUAUCAGAUUAUUCUUUAAGCUUUCUUCAGGCAGCCAGUACUGCUAGGGUCAAACUUUCGUACACAACAACUUUGUCCGUGCUUACUAAGGGACAACAACUAGAGUUUUCCAAAGAGUUGCCGUACAUGGUAAACAUUGACCUAUCAUGCAACAAUCUGACUGGAGGAAUCCCCGAAGGGAUUAGUGCUCUGAUUGCUUUGAAAAGCUUGAACUUUUCUUGGAAUCAUCUGACUGGGAGGAUUCCAAAGAAUAUUGGGAACCUCAAAGCACUCGAGUCCCUGGACCUAUCCCAUAACGAGCUGUCUGGAGAAAUCCCUUCAAGCAUAUCAGCUAUUACUUCUUUGAGCCGCUUCAACUUGUCAUAUAACAAUCUCUCUGGACAGAUACCAGCAGGGAAUCAGCUGCAGGCGCUCGAUGACCGAGCAUCCAGUUAUAUUGGAAACAUUGGUUUAUGUGGGCCUCCACUCUUGAAGAGUUGCUCUCCUAAUGCAACAAUAAUUACCCCAGCUACAGAUGAUGGGGAUCAUCACCAUGGGGUAGGGACGUCCAUCUACCUGAGCAUGGUCGUUGGCUUUGUCUUCGGCCUCUGGGUGGUCUUCUGUGUCAUGUUGUUCAAGAAGAGAUGGAGAUACGCCUAUUUCCGUUUCACUGACAACAUGUACCACAUGAUGUGCGUGCAUAUAAUUUUUGCCUGGAACCUCCUUGUGAGGAAGGGAUGA
rnacentral:rRNA from 1 species